rnacentral:rRNA from 1 species
UCCUUAGAUGUUCUGGGCCGCACGCGUGCUACACUGAGUGGAUCAGCGGGUCAGGUUACGCGAGAGCGUUUCCUAAUCUUCAAAUCCGCUCGUGAUGGGGAUUGACGGUUGCAAUUUUCCGUCAUGAACGAGGAAUACCUUGUAAGCGCGGGUCAUCAUCCCGCGCUGAAUACGUCCCUGCCCUUUGUACACACCGCCCGUCGCUCCUACCGAUUGAGUGGUCCGGUGAGGCUUUGGGAUCUAAGCGAAAAGAGCGUUUCGCUCCUUUUGCUGGGAGAACUCAGUCGAACCUUAUCAUUUAGAGGAAGGAGAAGUCGUAACA